rnacentral:lncRNA from 1 species
CUAAUUUAGAAUUCGGGACAAAUUCCGAUUAAGUGGGGAAGAAUUGUAACGACUCGUUUUUCUUAACCAGAAUUGGUUUGUGUUUCUCAUUAAUUAAAUUGGUAAACCAAUCUGGUUUUGUUCAAUUAAGUAUAUAUCCAACAAGCAAAUUGGUUUCUUAGGUUUUAUUAAUUGUUGCCUUAUAUAAAUACACAAAAGUGUUUAUAUCUUCUUCAUCUAUCUCAAAACCCUCGCCGCUUAACCUCACGCCUCCACUACUUCUCCCUUUUUCUUCUUCACGAUCGU